UAUACAUUAAAAACAUUGUGAGAAAGUGUAUGCUUUGCAGGCUGCCAAUGAAAUCUCAUCUUUUAUCAUACCAAAAAUGUGAAGAACCCCUAGUCUAGAAGGAUUCCAGACAAAGAAAACUCGGAGCAAAGGCAAGAAAAUACAUGGCCAGCCAAGUAUUCCAUUUUGCGUAAAACUGAGGUAAAGCAAGGAAAUGCCGGAAGAGAAAAAAGAAAAGGCUGAACCUGAUUGUCAGAACUGGACUUCUUCCAGCAGACUCUGGGGAGCUACUUAAUCAGGACUUUUUAAAAAGAGGGAGCAAGAGGCAGAGCCAACGAGACACAACCAGCUCAGGGUUUUCAAAGAAUUCCCUAGCAAAGGUAAGAAGGAAGGCCUGGAAUAGAAAGAAACAGAAGGUGAGAGACCAAGCAGGAGAUGAGAUUUCUAAUCCAGGCUUAUCUAAUAGCCCAAAGUGAAGAAAGAACUGACUAUGAAAAUGGGACGAAUAUGAGAGUGCUGUGAAAAUUCAGCAGUGACUAAAACAGAAGAAUCAAACAUGACUCCAAAGUCUGAAGAGAAGGCGACUGGGACAAGAGUCAUACUAAGAAAGAAUUAAGGAUGCCAAGUGGAGCAAGUCUGGCAAAGGAAAGUGCUGAGUUGCCUACAGGAUAUCCGGGUGAAAACAUCCAGCAGUUAUUUAUCCGCCUGGGACAGUACUGACCUUUAAGACUUACUGUAUCUCCUGAAUAGCCUAUUUGGACUUCAUCAAGAGCUUUUCCCAAACAGGGAUUUUUAUCUUGCGGGCCCAUGGACUCAUGGGGAGUCCCAUGAACCUCCCAAAUUAUUAAAGAAAAUUUUAUUUGUGUUCAUGGACAUUUGGGGAGAGGUAUGUACUUUCAUUACAAACUCAAGGAGCACGAAACUCCCUUUUCCCUCACAAAAAUGUUAAUACUCUCCAUUCAUCCUUCUAAACACUCCAAGCAAGGAAUUCCAGGCUCUUGACAAAUUCCUCUGCUUACUAUUUCUGGAAAUCAGGACUCCAAUCCAGUUGUCUGCUGCCUCCGCCACUCAUCUGCCUCCUGACCACAUUCCCUGUACACAGGCUGACAGGGGCUCUGUGGCAUACCACCUUUGGCAAUUCCUGGACUCAACCUUCCUCCUGCUACUGCUGCCCUCCCCUAAAAGAAGGCAGAAAACCCUCUUUUAAUUCUUUGAUCACAUUGCUCAGCCCAUCCACAACUUUUAGCAAAAACUUCUUGGAAAGUUCAGGAAAAUAGAAGGGGGCAUUAUGGCAUCAAUAUCUCAAAGCUGUACUGUAUGUGGUGAUUCCCAGAGAACAGCAGUUCAGAUGUACCUCAUGUCCCUUCAAGCUGGGAUUCUACUGAGAUAUGGAAAUAUUAUUCAAAAGAUAUGAGAAUAGAGAUCAUUUUAAGAAAAUCAAUUUUUAGGAAAUCAAUUUCAGAUUCCUCAACUUCCAUAUGAACUCUCUCCUAAGAACCUGUGAAAGUGCUUUUAGUAAACUAAGCUUUUUCUACCUUCUCCUUUAAUAACUGCCUUUCUCUUACCAAAAAAUAAACUUACCUCUCACCCAUACGUUUACCAUAGCGUAUUAGGAGACCAUUUUCCAUGGGUUUUUUCAUGUUCUGCAGGUCUUGAGAGUAAGGCAUCAACUGCCCUUAGUUCUGCACUAUCUCUACAGGUUUCAGUGGGAAGAUGGCUCUGCCAUCACCAUGUCAGACUUCUAGCCUGCAGAACUGAGAGACAAUACAUUUCUGUUGCUUUAAACCAUCCAAUUUUUGGUAUUU
rnacentral:lncRNA from 1 species